rnacentral:lncRNA from 1 species
UUUUAUAUCUCAUGAGACGUAAACUUAAAUCAUUUGAAAUGUUCAAAAGAUUUGGAAUUGAGGUAGAAAAUCAAACUAAUAAGAGUAUCACAAUCCUUAGAUUAGAUAGAGAAAGAGAAUAGUUUAAUGGUGAUUUUAUGAUUAUCUAAAAGAGAAUGAGUUAUCUCUUAAUAAACACUUCCUGAAACUCCACAACAUAAUGGCAUGUCAGAAAGAAGAAAUAGAUUGUUGUUAGUUAUGAUAUGAUUCAUGAUGGGUUUCACCGAUCUUCUG